AACAGGAUUAGAUACCCUGGUAGUCCACGCCGUAAACGAUGUCGACUUGGAGGUUGUGCCCUUGAGGCGUGGCUUCCGGAGCUAACGCGUUAAGUCGACCGCCUGGGGAGUACGGCCGCAAGGUUAAAACUCAAAUGAAUUGACGGGGGCCCGCACAAGCGGUGGAGCAUGUGGUUUAAUUCGAUGCAACGCGAAGAACCUUACCUACUCUUGACAUCCAGAGAACUUUCCAGAGAUGGAUUGGUGCCUUCGGGAACUCUGAGACAGGUGCUGCAUGGCUGUCGUCAGCUCGUGUUGUGAAAUGUUGGGUUAAGUCCCGCAACGAGCGCAACCCUUAUCCUUUGUUGCCAGCGGUCCGGCCGGGAACUCAAAGGAGACUGCCAGUGAUAAACUGGAGGAAGGUGGGGAUGACGUCAAGUCAUCAUGGCCCUUACGAGUAGGGCUACACACGUGCUACAAUGGCGCAUACAAAGAGAAGCGACCUCGCGAGAGCAAGCGGACCUCAUAAAGUGCGUCGUAGUCCGGAUUGGAGUCUGCAACUCGACUCCAUGAAGUCGGAAUCGCUAGUAAUCGUGGAUCAGAAUGCCACGGUGAAUACGUUCCCGGGCCUUGUACACACCGCCCGUCACACCAUGGGAGUGGGUUGCAAAAGAGGUAGGUAGCUUAACCUUCGGGAGGGCGCUUACCACUUUGUGAUUCAUGACUGGGGUGAAGUCGUAACAAGGUAACC
rnacentral:rRNA from 1 species